rnacentral:rRNA from 1 species
AGAGUUUGAUCCUGGCUCAGAACGAACGCUGGCGGCGCGCCUAAUACAUGCAAGUCGAGCGAGAAGACGUAGCAAUACGUUUGUAAAGCGGCGAACGGGUGAGGAAUACAUGGGUAACCUACCCUCGAGUGGGGAAUAACUAGCCGAAAGGUUAGCUAAUACCGCAUACGACUCCUGGUCUGCGGAUCAGGAGGGAAAGCGAUACCGUGGGUAUCGCGCUCUUGGAUGGGCUCAUGUCCUAUCAGCUUGUUGGUGAGGUAACGGCUCACCAAGGCUUCGACGGGUAGCUGGUCUGAGAGGACGAUCAGCCACACUGGCACUGCGACACGGGCCAGACUCCUACGGGAGGCAGCAGUAAGGAAUAUUGCGCAAUGGGCGACAGCCUGACGCAGCGACGCCGCGUGGGGGAUGAAGGUCUUCGGAUUGUAAACCCCUUUCGGCAGGGAAGAUGGAACGGGUAACCGUUCGGACGGUACCUGCAGAAGCAGCCACGGCUAACUUCGUGCCAGCAGCCGCGGUAAUACGAAGGUGGCAAGCGUUGUUCGGAUUUACUGGGCGUACAGGGAGCGUAGGCGGUUGGGUAAGCCCUCCGUGAAAUCUCCGGGCCUAACCCGGAAAGUGCGGAGGGGACUGCUCGGCUAGAGGAUGGGAGAGGAGCGCGGAAUUCCCGGUGUAGCGGUGAAAUGCGUAGAGAUCGGGAGGAAGGCC